rnacentral:rRNA from 1 species
UAUGGGAUAAUUGUUAGAAAUGACAGCUAAUACCAUAUAUUCCUUACGAGGGAAAGAUUUAUCGCUAUUAGAUGAGCCUAUAUUGGAUUAGCUAGUUGGUAAGGUAAUGGCUUACCAAGGCAGUGAUCUAUAGCUGGUUUGAGAGGAUGAUCAGCCACACUGGAAUUGAGAUACGGUCCAGACUCCUACGGGAGGCAGCAGUGGGGAAUAUUGGGCAAUGGGCGAAAGCCUGACCCGGCUAUGCCGCGUGAGUGAUUAAGGUCUUAGGAUUGUAAAGCUCUUUUAGUAGGGAAGAUAAUGACGGUACCUACAGAAAAAGCCCUGGCUAACUCCGUGCCAGCAGCCGCGGUAAUACGGAGAGGGCUAGCGUUGUUCGGAAUUACUGGGCGUAAAGGGUACGUAGGCGGUUUAGUAAGUUAGAGGUGAAAUCCUGGGGCUUAACCUCAGAAUUGCUUUUAAAACUACUAUACUAGAGAUCGAAAGAGGAUAGUGGAAUUCCUAAUGUAGAGGUAAAAUUCAUAGACAUUAGGAGGAACACCGGUGGCGAAGGCGGCUAUCUGGUUCGAUUCUGACGCUGAUGUACGAAAGCGUGGGGAGCAAACAGGAUUAGAUACCCUGGUAGUCCACGCUGUAAAUGGUGAAUGCUAAAUGUAGGAAUUUUUAUUUCUGUGUUGUAGCUAACGCGUUAAGCAUUCCGCCUGGGGACUACGAUCGCAAGAUUAAAACUCAAAGGAAUUGACGGGGAGCCGCACAAGCGGUGGAGCAUGUGGUUUAA